GAUUAUGUUGCAUAGGCUGACCCAGACACCUCGAACGGGAAAGGGCGUAAGGGGGGCCCAGGAAACUGCUGCAUUUGAUGUUGAAUUAUUUUUUUUUUCCUGAAGUAAUCACGAUGUCAAUAUCGUUUACCGGGAGAAAAUCUAAUCUUAAAACCAAAUAUAGUUUCUCAGGGAGUCUACUAAAUUCGGCUUAUCAAGCAUAUCCAUCAAUCUUGAAAAAAAAUAUGAGUUAUGGGUGACUUCAUGGGGAUCAGACACAUUCAAGUUCAGUGAACUGAAGUUCAGUUGCGUGUCACGAUGUCAUACUUUAGAGUGUUGCAUGGCGAGCCACAAUGAUUCUCCUUCAAAAUAACGCAUUAGGGCAAGAAAUAUUCCCUCUGAAAACUUAUUUAUAAAGCUAUAUUUCUUGCCUAAAUAUUUUCUUUUCAAUUUACACGGAGGCCAAGAAAUAUCAAUGAAAGCAACUAAAAACGCACGGAAAUCCCGACAUGAUGAUCAAGACAUUUCCAAUUUUAUUGCCUUUUAACUUGCUAAGUUUGCAAAUGCAGGUUGUAAUGUCGGAACAGAGGAUAUUGAUAAUGCAGAUAUGCAAAAUAUGUGCCACAAGGAGAAAAUCAUCCCAGAUGUAAUUCAGUACGCUCCUGUUCAUUUGUUGCAGCUAGGAUGGGAGGAUAAUGUCAAAGCUAAAUUGGGGAACAACCUGUUCAAAUACGAGGUGUUCCACGAGCCAACGUUGUAUUGGCCGCAUGAAGAGAACCUAUUUUAUACUCUAAUUUUGUCGGUGAGGAUACCCAUUUGCGUCUUCAAUUAAAAUUCAAAAUCGUUUUAAGAACUCUCUUGUGAGAAAAUAUAGAUGCUCAGUAAUGUCUCUAAAUAAAUGGAUUUACUCCUUAGGUGCGUUGAGAAAAUGUCUCCGCAGAUCUAAGUGGAGACCUUUCGCUCGAUCAGUUAAACAAAUAACUUGUCUGCCAUUGGUCAAAUGAUGACGAGAUAUAUUAUCCUCUAAUUCUUAUCGGUGAGACAUUUAUUGCAGCAUUUAAAUUGUAAGAGACUAUGAACGGAAUGUCAAAUUGUAAGAGUUAAGCAUCAAAAUUGGAUAGAAAUUUAUAUAAUUUCAAAAAGUGAAAGUGAGAACUGGAGUGUUUAAAGGUCAUAAUAUUAGGUAAACAUCCUUGAUGGGUCAACAUUUACACAUCAAGAGUUUUCUUUGCAACUUUGUUGCGGCACUGAAAUAAGUUGUUGUUAUCGAGACCGAAAGAAUGUCUGAAAAUUUAAGAAAGCUCGAGCUACUCAUUUGUGAAUCUCUUUUACACAGACAAAAGCGUUAUGGGGUAUCCCCUAAAAUAGUGGUGCUAUCCCUAUUUGUGCGAUGACAUAGGGAUUUCCAAUUCAUCCAAUUGAAAUAGCACCAUUUUUUUAACCACAUUUAAUUGAAGUAGUACCCCAAUAAUGUAUGCCUAAUAAAAAUGUCAAAAUCAUCCAACAACCCCUACCUAUUUUUUCCAAAUAGAACAUUUUUUUUUCGGUACACGAGAGAUGUGAGCAAGUAAAACUUAUACGUUUCUUACAUUAAACGAACAAAUAUUUUGUUGCAUAAGCUCAUGCUUAAAAAUAAACCCCCGUUCGGAACAUUAUUUUCAAAAAUUCCAAAUACACUUACCUGAGAUUGUGCGAUUUGGAAUUAUUGAAAAUAAUGUUCCGAAUGGGGUUUUAUUUUUUGGACUAAUACAUAGUACACAGAUUGCAACUCCUACCAUGAAGAUCAAUUUAAAAAUAAUUUAAUUUAAGUUUGUUUUGUCAACUUUGAAUUAAACAUUUGACUGUUUA
rnacentral:lncRNA from 1 species